rnacentral:lncRNA from 10 species
UUAAAUAUUUUCUUCUUAAAAGAUGAUUCUCUUGAUGCUGGUUUAACUAGAGGAUGAGCUAACUAUGACAUCAGUAAUUAAGACUUUACUUACUGAAGUCCUAAAAUAAAAAGAACACAUACACACACACACACACACACACACUCACACACACCAUGAGAGAAAUGAUUAGUAACAUAAGGUAAUGAAAAGCAGUAAUGAAAGCAAAGAAAAAGUGGGUUUCCAGCUAGUGCAGUCGUGUCACUAAAUCUUCUUUUGGCUAUGCAUUUUAAUUUGGUACCUAUAUGAAGUCUUGGGGCAAAAAAUGAGCAGACCCAUUGGGAAAUAAAGCAGAUAAUUUUCCCUUAUCCUCUUAAAAAAAUCUAUCUGAUGGCUAUUUUAAUAUCACAGACUUAUUUUUAAAAAUAUUUCACUCUAUUACUGUUUUCUCCAUGUGGGC